UACGGGGGGGGCGAGCGUUGUUCGGAAUUACUGGGCGUAAAGGGCGCGUAGGCGGCCUGCUAAGUCGAACGUGAAAUCCCUGGGCUCAACCCAGGAACUGCGUCCGAUACUGGUUGGCUUGAAUCCGGGAGAGGGAUGUGGAAUUCCGCGUGUAGCAGUGAAAUGCGUAGAUAUGCGGAGGAACACCGAUGGCGAAGGCAAUCCCCUGGGCCUGCACUGACGCUCAUGCACGAAAGCGUGGGGAGCAAACAGG
rnacentral:rRNA from 1 species